UUUUCCUUUCCCCAGCUCCUCCUGGAGCUUCCCCACUUCUGAUGCCCAUGUGCUGGGCACUUGCGUCAGGGCUUGGUUCUGGGUCCGCUUGUCUCUUUGCUCCCGGUGUCUGGCUAUUCCCCUCAGACCAUGCCUUUAGAUGCCAUUUACAAUGUACACUUUAGCUUUCUGGCAUGUUCACAGAUACGUGCACCUAUCACCACAGUCAGUUUUAGAACAUUUUUAUCACCUCCAAAGGAAGCCCGCACCCUACCGCUAGCUAGAGGCACACGUUGGCAGUCACAUAUUGUUGAAUGCAUUAAUAAUACAUGCUUUUCUUCUUUUCCCUUUCUUGCUCGCUUUCCAGGUUGUUUUUGGUACUGUUGAUAACACUGUGGUGAACAUCUUUAGGCCUUUGGCUUUUUUUAGCAGGAGAGAGUUUUCAUCAGGAGGGGGCCUCCUGGGUCAGCCUUUUUGGGUGUUGUGAUUGCUGCUGAGACACUGUGGAUGCGGCCACAGCAGGGCUGCUAAUUCAGUGUGUGCAGGACGCUGCCGUCCUUUUCUAAUUUGCGUUUUCUUGGUGACUUGCAAGGUUGGAUUUUUUUCUGCAGGUUUGUUUGUUGUAUCUCUUUUAUGUGAAGUUCUUUUCCAGUCUUCUGAUUGCUUCCUCCCUCCUGCUCAUUUGACUGUCACUGAAACUUAGUUGGGGUUUUGUGGGGCAGAUGGUGUCCUGCCAUUGUGCUUUGUGAUGUGAAUGAAGUGGUCUGCCCACAGUCACCCAGUUAUCCAGUCAGCUGUGAGUGGCAGAGCAGCAGGACCCCUGGCCUCCCAGCGCCUCAGAAAGGGGGAAACACUUGCCAUGACACCUUUGACUGACAUUUUGUUUAGUUGUCAUGAAAAGACACCCAUUGAACACUGAACCUGGAACAAUUUCAAAACAGCCUUUGACUAGAGGACUUAAGGAGAAGGAAGAAGUACCACCUUGAAAAUUAUGAGAAAGCUGUAAAAAUCACUGUAUUCGUCACAGUUCUAGAGAUAUACAUGUACACCAUUAAAGAGAAAUUAUUCUGACACUUGUUAAAA